GCCACGCCCGGAACGGAUAACCGCUGAAGGCAUCUAAGCGGGAAGCCGUCUCCGAGAUGAGUUCUCCCUUCGGUAAGCCCCCAUGUAGAACACGUGGUCGAUAGGCCGCAGCUGCAAGCGCCGCGAGGCGUUCAGGCGAGCGGUACUAAUAGGGCGAGCCCUUGCACCCAUCC
rnacentral:rRNA from 1 species